UGGAGUGUGGCUCAGUGGUAGAGCACUUGCCUAGCAUGUAUGAGGCCUUGGGUUCAACCCCCAGCACUUUAA